GGGUUGUGAGGUUAAGCGACUAAGCGUACACGGUGGAUGCCCUGGCAGUCAGAGGCGAUGAAGGACGUGCUAAUCUGCGAUAAGCGUCGGUAAGGUGAUAUGAACCGUUAUAACCGGCGAUUUCCGAAUGGGGAAACCCAGUGUGAUUCGUCACACUAUCAUUAACUGAAUCCAUAGGUUAAUGAGGCGAACCGGGGGAACUGAAACAUCUAAGUACCCCGAGGAAAAGAAAUCAACCGAGAUUCCCCCAGUAGCGGCGAGCGAACGGGGAGCAGCCCAGAGCCUGAAUCAGUGUGUGUGUUAGUGGAAGCGUCUGGAAAGGCGCGCGAUACAGGGUGACAGCCCCGUACACAAAAAUGCACAUGCUGUGAGCUCGAUGAGUAGGGCGGGACACGUGGUAUCCUGUCUGAAUAUGGGGGGACCAUCCUCCAAGGCUAAAUACUCCUGACUGACCGAUAGUGAACCAGUACCGUGAGGGAAAGGCGAAAAGAACCCCGGCGAGGGGAGUGAAAAAGAACCUGAAACCGUGUACGUACAAGCAGUGGGAGCACGCUUAGGCGUGUGACUGCGUACCUUUUGUAUAAUGGGUCAGCGACUUAUAUUCUGUAGCAAGGUUAACCGAAUAGGGGAGCCGAAGGGAAACCGAGUCUUAACUGGGCGUUAAGUUGCAGGGUAUAGACCCGAAACCCGGUGAUCUAGCCAUGGGCAGGUUGAAGGUUGGGUAACACUAACUGGAGGACCGAACCGACUAAUGUUGAAAAAUUAGCGGAUGACUUGUGGCUGGGGGUGAAAGGCCAAUCAAACCGGGAGAUAGCUGGUUCUCCCCGAAAGCUAUUUAGGUAGCGCCUCGUGAAUUCAUCUCCGGGGGUAGAGCACUGUUUCGGCAAGGGGGUCAUCCCGACUUACCAACCCGAUGCAAACUGCGAAUACCGGAGAAUGUUAUCACGGGAGACACACGGCGGGUGCUAACGUCCGUCGUGAAGAGGGAAACAACCCAGACCGCCAGCUAAGGUCCCAAAGUCAUGGUUAAGUGGGAAACGAUGUGGGAAGGCCCAGACAGCCAGGAUGUUGGCUUAGAAGCAGCCAUCAUUUAAAGAAAGCGUAAUAGCUCACUGGUCGAGUCGGCCUGCGCGGAAGAUGUAACGGGGCUAAACCAUGCACCGAAGCUGCGGCAGCGACGCUGAUGCGUUGUUGGGUAGGGGAGCGUUCUGUAAGCCUGCGAAGGUGUGCUGUGAGGCAUGCUGGAGGUAUCAGAAGUGCGAAUGCUGACAUAAGUAACGAUAAAGCG
rnacentral:rRNA from 1 species